AUUGACCGCUGGCGGCAGGCCUAACAAAUGCAAGACGAACGGUAACAGGAAGAAGCUUGCUUCUUUGCUGACGCGUGGCGGACGGGUGCGUACUGUCAGGGCAACUGCCUGAUGGAGGGAGAUAACUACUGGAAACGGUAGAUAAUACCGCAUAACGUCGCAACACAAUAGAGGGGGAACUUCGGGCCCCUUGCCAUCCGAUGCGACCGGAUGGGAUUAGCCAGUAGGUCGGCUAACGGCUCACCUAGGCCACGAUCCCUAGCUGGUCUGAGCGGAUGACCAGCCACACUGGAACUGAGACACGGUCCAGACUCCGACGGGAGGCAGGAGUGGUGAAUAUUGCUCAAGGGGCGCAAUCCUGAUGCAGCCAUGGCGAGUGUAUGAAGAAGGCCUUCGGGUUGUAAAGUACGUUCAGCGGGGAGGAAGGGAGUAAAGUUAAUACCUUUGCUCAUUGACGUUACCCACAGGAGAAGCAGCGGCUAACUCCGUG
rnacentral:rRNA from 1 species